rnacentral:tRNA from 1 species
CGGGGUGUAGCUCAGUUGGCUAGAGCGUCCGCUUUGGGAGCGGAAGGUCGCUGGUUCAAGUCCAGUCACCCCGA